GGAAAAAUACCUGUCUGCUGGUCUCUGCCAUGUCUCAGUGCCAGCCUGGACAUCUGUGCCAGGGAAAGCGGGGCAUGGUGCUGCUGGAAGGGGUAGGUGGAAGGUGCUGCAUGGUCAGUUGUGUUACCAGGACAAGAGCUGCAUUUAGCUCAAAGCCAGACUUUUCAGCUGGGACCCAGUGACCCCAUUGACAGGGUCUGGAGUCACCAAGCUGCAGCCACAUUCAAGUCCUAUUUUUGUCAAGAGUUUUGCAGUGAGCUUCAGAUACUGCCCACGUGGAAGGUGGGAGAGAUGAAUCCCAGCCAUGGCAAAGUCCUGCCUGGUGAAUUUGCAGGUGCCUCCCCAGGCUGCAGCUCGAGCUGCUGACAGGAGAUGCUGGCAGUGAUUUGUGGGGCAGGGAGUUUUCCUCCUUCCCCCUGCACAGUCUGUAAUUCCCUGGUAUUAUAACAUGUCAUUUUUCUAGCAUACCUGAGGAGCCAGGAAAUAAUGUCUGAGCCUAGAGGGACAGCAACGAUGGAACCUCCAAAGAGGCGAGAGAUGGAGAGAUUAGAGCAAGAAACGAAGCCAGCGGAUGCUGCCAGUUCCCAUCACCUAAUCAAAGCUGCUCCGUGGAAGGGCCGCCUCGUUAUUACAUCCCAUUAUAGCCUCCGGCAGCGGCUGUACUUCAUAACCGCCCAGGAAAGCUGACAGGAGCUUAAAAUACUCCGGCAGCGCUGGAGGAGAAGGAGGUGGUAAGCAGUGCCAAGUUCCUCAAUGAAAAUUACUCUCAGCGCCUCUGGUUUUGGAGCCAGAUCGAUGUUAAUUAAUCCUUGCCUCACACGUUACGUUCUCCAACCUCACCGCCUCAGAUUUUAACUCGCUAAAAAAGCAGAUGGAGGUUCCCGAAGCGCCUCCGAAAUUCCCAGCCGAGUGCUCUCCUCAAUGACAAUGCCAAUUUGUCAUGAGUGAAAUGUUUGACAAAAAUCUGUCAUUUUUGAGAGAAGUUUUUCCUUGAAAGAAAAACCAGG
rnacentral:lncRNA from 1 species